CCUCCUCCUACCCCAGGCCAGGUUCGGGGUCUCUCCUUCCCCCUCAGGAGCUGGUAGAAUGUCAUUUCAGAUCAGCAUGGAAUGGCCCCGGGACCCAGCCAUUGAGGGGAGGGGGUAGCAGGGCCCAAUAACCCGUCCACCUCUGCCCAAGCCUCAGUUUGAGCCUGUCUGGGUUUCUGCCACCUACCAGCUGGAUGGUUUUGGGCAAGUUACUUAGUCUCUCUGAGCCUCAGUUCCCCAUCUGUAAAGUGGGAGCAUAGUAAAUUAUGGAAAGGAUCCAAAGAAAUUACGUUUAAAGUGCCAGGCUUGGGAUGGUGCCCAGACCCAGGAGCGCCACCAGGGCAGGGCCAUUUCUCUCCAGAUGGAGUGAUGGGGGUCUAGAUGUGGCCCAGGAUUCUUGGGGAGGGCCCACAAGGUCAGCCUCACCUCCUGUUUUCUCUGAGCAGAAGAACAAUGCCAGAGAGAAUAAAGUGCUUCCUGGGGCCAUAGUGAAGACCAGGCCUCCCCAAAGCCAAGACAUCAGUCCCCACACCCUUCCUCUGUCCUGGAGGUGAUUGGGGCAGGUCUUGGAUCCUGGGCCUUCCUUUUCAGCCCUAGAAAAUCAGGCCCAACUAGUUUGAUGGGAAGUGACCCCUUUGGUCCUAGGGUGGCAUCCCUUGACUGUGGAAGAGGCUCCCAGAUGGAAAGGGGGGUGUUCAGGAUCCCAGAAUGAGAACUGAGAUCACUGGGCACCCAGGGCCGUCCCCACCCCAAACUCCAGAGCUUGAGUGAUUCAAUUAGAUAACCUUCCUUCUGCGAUGAAGCACCCAACACCCUGGGCCUCCAGAGCAGCCGCUGACCAGCCCAUGGGGCAGUUUAAUGGUGUCUGCUCCUGGAAGAAAGGGAGACUGGUAUCUGGAAGCCCUAGAAGUGUGCGGGCCGUCCCACAGCAAUGGGAGAACUGUGCCUCAGCUUCCCCAUCAUAAAAGAAGACAAUUGCCCUGAGCUGGUUUCAUGCCUAGUUGGGAAAUUCUAGGUGUCUUCCUUUUGGGGGAGGAGGCAUUUCCCCCCCAACGUGCCUCCACCUAGCUGGGCAGACAGGUUGCCCUAUGUAGGCAUGAUGGGAAUGUGUGCAGCUGGCCAGAGGGCCUCCCCUCUCCCUGGGCCCCCCGACGGUCAGGGCCCCAGCCUUCCUCCCUCACUCCCAGCCCAGCCAGUCCUCCAACCCAAAAGUGACCAACCCAGGUCCCAGCUGUGGCCCCUGUAAAAUCCCAGGGGCUUCAGGGCCCCUCCACCACAGAGCACAGGCCUGAACUCUGGCUUCUCCCCAGGGAGCUGCCGUGUUUACCCCGCCAACCCCGCUUUCCCUCCCUGAGGAGUGUGUUUGGGAGGCGAGAACCCACAGCGCACUCAGGCACUCACACACCAUCUGACGCGCCAGACCACACAGACUCGCAGCCCAGCCACAGAUGUGCACCCCAGCACCUGCUCUGGGCUGUGCCUCCUGUACGGGGCCGGGGCUGCGUGGCCUCAGCAUGGCAGGGAACCGGCGCUAACUAUGAAGUAGUCUGGUAGACUGGCCUGGACUCCUGUCCCCAUUUUACAGACGAGGCAACUGAGGCUCAGACGGGCAGGGCCGGCCACGGCCAGUGUCAGCUUGCUCAGGGAUGCAGAGCUCUCCACAGCGCCCUGCAUUCUCAGGCCUCUGGGGCAGCGGCGUGGCGAUCGAUGCCCGCGUGGGGAGCUGUCAGGCCGAUUGAAAUGUGGGCUCGGCCUCUCUGCCCGCUGGGCAGAUGCUGGCACCGCCACCCGCGCCUUAAAUAUUCAUUCACUUGACAGAACACUAAUUAAACAAAGUAAGGUGCAUUA